AUGACUACAACGGCGAUUAUUUUCACAAUUUCCUACCUAAAUCCAACCCUAAUCCCCAAAUCCCUCAACCAUUCAACAAGCCAGAUCACAAAAGCUAAGUUCCAUGGGAGAUACCUCUAUCACGAUAAUUUGCAUGUGUUUUUGAUUUUUUCGUCCUAUCUCUCUCUGCUAAUCCCUUCCUCUAUGUUUUCCAGGUACGACCAUGAUGAAGAUGGUGGCGACGGCGGUUUAAGGGAGAAAGCAGUGACGGAGGCCGCUUGGAGAAAGCUCUGUUCUUCAAACUUCUUCUGA